rnacentral:tRNA from 3 species
GGACCCGUAGCUCAGCGGUAGAGCGUUCGGUUCACAUCCGAAAGGUCAGAGGUUCGAGACCUCUCGGGUCCA